CGGUUGAUCCUGCCGGAGGCUACUGCUAUCGGGGUUCGAUUAAGCCAUGCGAGUUAAAUGUUCUUCGUGAACAUAGCGGACGGCUCAGUAACACGUGGAUAACCUACCCUUAGGACCGGAAUAACCCCGGGAAACUGGGGAUAAUACCGGAUAAGCCAUAGACGCUGGAAUGCCCUAUGGUUCAAAGCUCCGGCGCCUAAGGAUGGGUCUGCGGUCUAUCAGGUUGUAGUGGGUGUAACGGAUCUACUAGCCGACGACGGAUACGGGUUGUGAGAGCAAGAGCCCGGAGAUGGGUUCUGAGACAAGAAUCCAGGCCCUACGGGGUGCAGCAGGCGCGAAAACUUUACAAUGCGGGAAACCGCGAUAAGGGAACCCCGAGUGCCAGCAUCAAAUGUUGGCUGUCCAAGUGAUUAAAAAUCAUUUGUUAGCAAGGGCCGGGCAAGACCGGUGCCAGCCGCCGCGGUAACACCGGCGGCCCAAGUGGUAGCCGUUUUUAUUGGGUCUAAAGGGUCCGUAGCCGGCCUGAUAAGUCCUUUGGGAAAUCUGGCAGCUUAACUGUCAAGCUUCCAAGGGAUACUGUCAGGCUUGGGACCGGAAGAGGUAAGGGGUACUCCAGGGGUAGGGGUGAAAUCUAUUAAUCCCUGGGGGACCACCUGUGGCGAAGGCGCCUUACCAGAACGGGUCCGACGGUGAGGGACGAAAGCUAGGGGCGCGAACCGGAUUAGAUACCCGGGUAGUCCUAGCUGUAAACGAUGCUCGCUAGGUGUCAGACACGGUGCGACCGUGUUUGGUGCCGCAGGGAAGCCGUUAAGCGAGCCACCUGGGAAGUACGGUCGCAGGCUGAAACUUAAAGGAAUUGGCGGGGGAGCAC
rnacentral:rRNA from 1 species